rnacentral:rRNA from 1 species
GACGAACGCUGGCGGCGUGCUUAACACAUGCAAGUCGAACGGUGAACGAGGGAGCUUGCUCCCUCCGGAUCAGUGGCGAACGGGUGAGUAACACGUGAGCAAUCUGCCCUGGACUCUGGGAUAAGCGUUGGAAACGACGUCUAAUACCGGAUACGAGGCGUGGGGGCAUCCCCAACGCCUGGAAAGAACUUCGGUCCAGGAUGAGCUCGCGGCCUAUCAGGUAGUUGGUGAGGUAAUGGCUCACCAAGCCUACGACGGGUAGCCGGCCUGAGAGGGUGACCGGCCACACUGGGACUGAGACACGGCCCAGACUCCUACGGGAGGCAGCAGUGGGGAAUAUUGCACAAUGGGCGCAAGCCUGAUGCAGCAACGCCGCGUGAGGGACGACGGCCUUCGGGUUGUAAACCUCUUUUAGCAGGGAAGAAGCGAAAGUGACGGUACCUGCAGAAAAAGCACCGGCUAACUACGUGCCAGCCGCCGCUGUAAUAC